GAUGAGACAAACUUGUGGCUAUUGCUUGCAAUGUACUUGUACGAGGAUUAGUAUUUUUAUUACUAUUAGAUGAUAAAACAUGAAUAGUACUUUUUGUGUGACUAAAUGUUUUUAAAUUUUUCACAAAAUUUUUAAAUAAGACGGACGGUCAAACGUUGGACACGGAUAUCCACGACUGCACUUAUU
rnacentral:pre_miRNA from 1 species